CGAAUACGUGUACGCUGCGUGUGAUAAAACGUCAUCUCGCGUUUAUGUCUACGACCUGCAAUCCUGCCUCCAACAGUCCUGCGUCUUAUGUAGAUUCGUCUUUAUCGUUCAAAACGCGAUCGCGACAAGAUGUCGGAGCACGACGACUCUCCGUGAUCAUUAACAUUAAUAAUAUAAUUAUCGUACCGUGAAUUUAGCUAAUGCCACAAUUGACGACUCGUAAGCAUAUAUCGAGAUAACGAUUAUUCAUUAAAGUAAAUAUUUUACGUUACAAUACUCCGUCGUAGCGGAGUAAAAUUCGUGUCGUGUGUGAUCAACGACGGGAAUGCCGAAAGUAUCAUGCACGUUUUACGUCCUUACGCGAUUUUAUGUGUGAAGACCUUAAUUAGUGCGUAGCUAAUCGUGUUUGCGAAUGAGUGUCGUAUGAGUGCGAUUAACAUCUGUGAGGAGCACGGGAAGAACAUCGGUUGAUGGUGGAGCAACUUACGGAUUUGUGAGAUUUUAUUUCGCAGAUCGCUUUUGCCAGAUACGUGGAUGAAUAUUUCAUUUUAUUCAAUCUUCGGUAAGCCGUUCUCCGUUCCCCAUUCGCGGGGCAGAAAGAUGGCCCUUGGGAUCACGCAGAUCGACGCAGCUGGCUACGUCCCCUAGACGCUCGUUCGUCCACCGUAUAUUCCCUUUUCGAAUUUCCGAAAGAUUCGCGUGAGUCGAGAACAUUACUCUAGGAGAAGAAAUAUGGCGUAAAUAAUUGCGUGAGUUAUAAUUAUAAUGGAAAG